AUCCAGCUGACGAGUCCCAAAUAGGACGAAACACACGUCAUACUGGAU
rfam:Schistosoma mansoni strain Puerto Rico chromosome 5, complete genome